GAUGAAGAACGCAGCGAAAUGCGAUAAGUAAUGUGAAUUGCAGAAUUCAGUGAAUCAUCGAAUCUUUGAACGCACAUUGCGCCCGCCAGCAUUCUGGCGGGCAUGCCUGUUCGAGCGUCAUUUCAACCCUCGAGCCCCCCCGGGGGCCUCGGUGUUGGGGGACGGCACAUCAGCCGCCCCCGAAAUGCAGUGGCGACCCCGCCGCAGCCUCCCCUGCGUAGUAGCACACACCUCGCACCGGAGCGCGGAGGCGGUCACGCCGUAAAACGCCCAACUUUCUUAGAGUUGACCUCGGAUCAGGUAGGAAUACCCGCUGAACUUAAGCAUAUCAAUAAGCGGAGGA
rnacentral:misc_RNA from 1 species